UACGGGGGGGGCAAGCGUUGUUCGGAAUUACUGGGCGUAAAGGGCUCGUAGGCGGCCAACUAAGUCAGACGUGAAAUCCCUCGGCUUAACCGGGGAACUGCAUCUGAUACUGGAUGGCUUGAGAUUGGGAGAGGGAUGCGGAAUUCCAGGUGUAGCGGUGAAAUGCGUAGAUAUCUGGAGGAACACCUGUGGUGUAGACGGCUUACUGGACCAUGACUGACGCUGAGGCACGAAAGCGUGGGGAGCAAACAGG
rnacentral:rRNA from 1 species